AUUAUUCGUACCCUUCUUCUUCAAUCUUCCAUGCCUUCCCAAUAAUGGGCUGAGGCUCUCCACACUGCUACAUAUCUUCUCAAUAUCCGUCCCACCAAAGCCAAUCCCAACGUCACCCCCUACUUUUCUCUGUUUCUAUGUCAUCCAAACUACUCCGACAUUCGUGUUUUUGGUUGCCUCUUCUUUCCUAACACUUCUGCUACCACCGCUCAUAAGCUCUCUCCCCGCUCUCUCCCGUGUGUUCUCCUUGGUUUUUCGGAUGAACACAAAGGCUAUCGUUGCCUUGACUUAUCCACCGGUCGGGUUCUUGUAUCUCGGCAUGUCACCUUUGCUGAACAUAUCUUUCCAUUUGCUCAAUGUACCGCUCCAUCACACCUCCCUACUUCCCCACCUAACCACCCUCCUACUCGUUUCCCUUUUUAUGCUCCUCUUCUGCAAUCUCAAUCUCCAAAUACCUCUUCACAACCAUCCCAACCUAAUGCCCCUACACUACCGACACCCAAUCAUAACCCUCCAACUUCGCCACCUGCAUCAUCGCCCAUACAUACCGAUGCACCACCAUCCCCUCCCGCACCAUCCCCCACACAUGUUGAUGCACCACCAUCCCCUACUGCGAGGUUCAGGGCCUGA
rnacentral:rRNA from 1 species